rnacentral:rRNA from 1 species
GAUGAACGCUGGCGGCGUGCCUAAUACAUGCAAAUCGAGCGAACGGACGAGAAGCUUGCUUCUCUGAUGUUAGCGGCGGACGGGUGAGUAACACGUGGAUAACCUACCUAUAAGACUGGGAUAACUUCGGGAAACCGGAGCUAAUACCGGAUAAUAUUUUGAACCGCAUGGUUCAAAAGUGAAAGACGGUCUUGCUGUCACUUAUAGAUGGAUCCGCGCUGCAUUAGCUAGUUGGUAAGGUAACGGCUUACCAAGGCAACGAUGCGUAGCCGACCUGAGAGGGUGAUCGGCCACACUGGAACUGAGACACGGUCCAGAGUCCUACGGGAGGCAGCAGUAGGGAAUCUUCCGCAAAGGGCGAAAGCCUGACGGAGCAACGCCGCGUGAGUGAUGAAGGUCUUCGGAUCGUAAAACUCUGUUAUUAGGGAAGAACAGAUGUGUAAGUAACUGUGCACAUCUUGACGGUACCUAAUCAGAAAGCCACGGCUAACUACGUG